rnacentral:rRNA from 1 species
CCUACGGGUGGCAGCAGUGAGGAAUAUUGGUCAAUGGACGAGAGUCUGACCCAGCCAAGUAGCGUGAAGGAUGACUGCCCUAUGGGUUGUAAACUUCUUUUAUAAAGGAAUAAAACGAGGCACGUGUGCCUUUUUGCAUGUACUUUAUGAAUAAGGAUCGGCUAACUCCGUGCCAGCAGCCGCGGUAAUACGGAGGAUCCGAGCGUUAUCCGGAUUUAUUGGGUUUAAAGGGAGCGUAGAUGGGUUGUUAAGUCAGUUGUGAAAGUUUGCGGCUCAACCGUAAAAUUGCAAGUGAUACUGGCAGUCGUGAGUACAGUUGAGGUAGGCGGAAUUCGUGGUGUAGCGGUGAAAUGCUUAGAUAUCACGAAGAACUCCGAUUGCGAAGGCAGCUUACUAAACUGCCACUGACAUUGAGGCUCGAAAGUGUGGGUAUCAAACAGGAUUAGAUACCCUUGUAGUC